UCUGUCGGUCAGAUUAAAUCUACGUGCUAGAGGAACCAUCACGUGCUCAUGGACUCGAACGAACCAACACUUUUGACCCCUAGCAUAAGAACAGGUCAAAAAACAAAACCUAGGCUUCGAGGGUGCUGAGGAAGACAAUCGACGGACAACGUACAUGCAGGCGUCAAAGAAGCGCCUGAGUCUCCGCACCAAAAACCAACGUCCGGGAGCAAAGAAAUCUAGGCUUGCCGAGGGACAAAGAACGACGUACAUCACAGGUAUAUUCAAGUAUACGACAUAGGGUGCUGAUGCAGCCAGCCCGUGGCAACCAACGGAUGCAGGUGUCGAAGAAACGGUGGAGUUUGGGUGCCAAAAAUCAACGGCUGGAGGCAAAGAAAUCUAGGCCUGACGAGGAAGCAUCGAUCGACACCUUCUUUGACGUGCAUCACAGGUACAAGUACGACAGAGGCUGGCGAAACAGCCAACCCAUGGUCGACUUGGACGCAUGCGUCAAAGGAGGGACGGCGACAGAGGCAACGCCGACCGUGAGAUCGCCUGAUUAGCUAGCUUUGUACGUGAAGAUUUGUUCUAGCCAUCACAUCAGGAAGCAAAUCGAGCUAGGUUUUCAAAGGUCGUGCUGGCCGUAAACUACACGGCAACUCGCUGGAUCGUCUCAGUGAAAGCAAAGCCAAGUCGAGGUAGGAAUAUACAUAUCCGGAGCACAUUGUGAUACUAUAAUACCUUAUAUUCAGAUGACUUUUACUACAGGUAAUAUAUUUAGAUUACAUGUCAAGCAUCAAAGAGUAUCAUAGAAAAAAUAGAAACUCCAGUACAUGACACAAUAGGAGUUACUCUGUAAUCAUGGUGUGCUCCAUGUACUAUCUUUGUGUCCAUAGAGAUCCAUGUCUUUAUGUGUACUUCUUUUUUUCAGUUCUGGUGCACACCAAGUUAUCUCAACUAUUUAUGAAUUACUGGUAGUUGA